rnacentral:lncRNA from 1 species
CCGAACUUAUUUAAUAAGGCGAGAUGGAGACCUUGAUUUGGACCCUCGUGAUCGAGCUUUUGAUUGUAAAGAACACGGAGCCAUAGUCAAACGAUCCAAACCAGGUAGAGAGCGUCGAAGCUUAUCCACCUGAAGCGCUCACUUCUACUCCUGUCCUGCUGUGGAAGUAGUGACCGGAAGCUUCACUAUGGAGGCGGGCGAUCUGAUGGAGCUGAUGAGAUCCACAACCGAGAUGGAGCCAUCCCUGGAACCCAGGAGCGAAGCUAUCCCUCCUGAGGCUGGCCCACAAGAAUCCAUUUCA